rnacentral:lncRNA from 1 species
GCUAAGUCCCUCCUGCUCACCACUAAACCCAAGAGGAAAAGGAAUUCCUGGCAGAGUCCAAUUUAAAGUCAACAAACAAACAAUGUGGGAAGGAGAGAAGGAAUCCCAGGAAUGUGGGCGAGGUCCUCCUCCCGCCGGGGCCACCCUGGACCCGGCGAGAAAUCGAAGGUCCCCCAAGGACCCACGUCCAGGAGCCAACAGCCUCUCUGUGCAAACCAGACAACCCUGCAGGAACUGUGCUUGAAGAAACCGUGGAAACUGCCCCCAACCCUCCCGUCUCUAUUUCUUUCUCUGUUUUAUUAUCUCAUUCUUGGCUGUGAGGUAAACAGGAGAAAAUGAGAAGGUGGUUCUGGAGGACCCGACCGAAUUUGCUUUCGUGACAGGGUCAAGCGCCCUUUCCUCGCCGGCCGCAGCCCUCACCAAAGGGGAUUUGGGGGCCUCCGGACAGGGGUCCUGAAGGUUUUGAAUUGUUCAAUCUCUGGGGGUACAGGAACCCCUGCAGGAGGUUUCAAAGGCAAGAGUUUCGCAGAGAGAAAAAAACCAUGAACUUUGCAGGUUGGUGGCGGAAUCUGGUGAUUUAAGAAAACGUGUUUAAGCCUCGGCCGGGCCGCGCCUGGGCUGUCUGCGGUGCUCUUCCGGAAUUCUCUACAAUAUCUGGAAGUGACCAAGAAAAUUCCAGAACCCGGAGGCUGCGCCGUGGAGAUAAACAUGGGCACCUGGGAAGGAACUGCUGGACCAGCAGAAUGAGGGGCCAACGCCAGGGGCAGCACUGCCCGGCCACAGAGGACUGUGGCCCCACAGAUGACACCCUCAGCUACCAGCUCCUGCAUCUGGAAGAUGACCAGGAGGAGGAAGGACGGUCUGCAAGUGUUCAAAGUGAUGUUUCCAGGCCGGGCGCGCUUGUAAUACCAGCAUUUGGGAGGCUGAGGCAGGCGGAUCACCUGAGGUCGGGAGUUCGAGACCAGCCUGACCAACGUGGAGAAACCCCGUCUCUACUAAAAAUACAAAAUUAGCCAGGCGUGGUGGCGCAGCUACUCGGGAGGCUGAGGCAGGAGAAUCGCUUGAACCCGGGAGGCGGAGGUUGCGGUGAGCUGAGAUUGUGCCAUUGCACUCCAGCCUGGGCAACAAGAGUGAAACUCCGUCUGAAAAAAAAAAAACCUCUAUAACAUCCAAAAUACUAACCACUUGUUACCUCUAGAUUGUUUGGGGAUGUUAGAUUUCUCCUUUGUUGCCAGCUCUUUUAUUUUUAUUUAUUUAUUUAUUAUUAUUAUUAUUAUUAUUAUUAUUA